AAGAUGUCGGCUUGCAAUCUUCAGCCAGCUUAAUCGCACUGCUUCCGCUUUGACCACGGAUGUACUGGCACUGCAGGAAGCGAGUUGUUGAAAGGCCGGACUUGUCCGGCCUUUCUCCAU
rnacentral:sRNA from 1 species